rnacentral:rRNA from 1 species
GAGCGGAUGAAGGGAGCUUGCUCCUGGAUUCAGCGGCGGACGGGUGAGUAAUGCCUAGGAAUCUGCCUGGUAGUGGGGGAUAACGUCCGGAAACGGGCGCUAAUACCGCAUACGUCCUGAGGGAGAAAGUGGGGGAUCUUCGGACCUCACGCUAUCAGAUGAGCCUAGGUCGGAUUAGCUAGUUGGUGGGGUAAAGGCCUACCAAGGCGACGAUCCGUAACUGGUCUGGGAGGAUGAUCAGUCACACUGGAACUGAGACACGGUCCAGACUCCUACGGGAGGCAGCAGUGGGGAAUAUUGGACAAUGGGCGAAAGCCUGAUCCAGCCAUGCCGCGUGUGUGAAGAAGGUCUUCGGAUUGUAAAGCACUUUAAGUUGGGAGGAAGGGCAGUAAGUUAAUACCUUGCUGUUUUGACGUUACCAACAGAAUAAGCACCGGCUAACUUCGUGCCAGCAGCCGCGGUAAUACGAAGGGUGCAAGCGUUAAUCGGAAUUACUGGGCGUAAAGCGCGCGUAGGUGGUUCAGCAAGUUGGAUGUGAAAUCCCCGGGCUCAACCUGGGAACUGCAUCCAAAACUACUGAGCUAGAGUACGGUAGAGGGUGGUGGAAUUUCCUGUGUAGCGGUGAAAUGCGUAGAUAUAGGAAGGAACACCAGUGGCGAAGGCGACCACCUGGACUGAUACUGACACUGAGGUGCGAAAGCGUGGGGAGCAAACAGGAUUAGAUACCCUGGUAGUCCACGCCGUAAACGAUGUCGACUAGCCGUUGGGAUCCUUGAGAUCUUAGUGGCGCAGCUAACGCGAUAAGUCGACCGCCUG